UGCCAGACUCCUACGGGAGGCAGCAGUGGGGAAUAUUGCACAAUGGGGGAAACCCUGAUGCAGCGACGCCGCGUGAGCGAUGAAGUAUUUCGGUAUGUAAAGCUCUAUCAGCAGGGAAGAAAAUGACGGUACCUGACUAAGAAGCCCCGGCUAACUACGUGCCAGCAGCCGCGGUAAUACGUAGGGGGCAAGCGUUAUCCGGAUUUACUGGGUGUAAAGGGAGCGUAGACGGCUGUGCAAGCCAGAUGUGAAAGCCCGGGGCUCAACCCCGGGACUGCAUUUGGAACUGUGUGGCUGGAGUGUCGGAGAGGCAGGCGGAAUUCCUAGUGUAGCGGUGAAAUGCGUAGAUAUUAGGGGGAACACCAGUGGCGAAGGCGGCCUGCUGGACGAUGACUGACGCUGAGGCUCGAAAGCGUGGGGAGCAAACAGGAUUAGAUACCCCUGUA
rnacentral:rRNA from 1 species